UACGUAGGGGGCAAGCGUUGUCCGGAAUCAUUGGGCGUAAAGAGCGUGUAGGCGGUCCGGUAAGUCAGCUGUGAAAGUCAAGGGCUCAACCCUUGAAAGCCGGUUGAUACUGUCGGGCUAGAGUCCGGAAGAGGCGAGUGGAAUUCCCGGUGUAGCGGUGAAAUGCGCAGAUAUCGGGAGGAACACCGGUGGCGAAGGCGGCUACCUGGCCCACUCUUGACGCUGAGGCGCGAAAGCUAGGGGAGCAAACGGG
rnacentral:rRNA from 1 species